AGGACAUGCUGCUGCGACUGCUGUAUUGCUUACAACAGAAAAACACAUCAACGGAGUAGGAGCUGCACAGUCGAAAAAAUAAUUACUAUGAGAUACAACUGUUGCAAAAAAGUGCUAAGCGGGUUCCUUUCAAUAUGAGUGGGGAAAAGGGAAUAUUGCAUUUCGUCCAGAUGGAACAUGGAGCCCGAGGAAUGCAUCUGGAAUAUAUAUAUAUUUUUUUUAGGGCAAAUGACAUUUCUCAUCACAUCUCGUUGUCAGGGCUGCUGCUUCAGCAUUUUGAACUCUCCUUCUUUUUUUUGUUUGGGAGGGGGGUUGUCUAUGUGCACUAGUGAAGAGACCAGCUGCAAGUCGUCAUCAUCAGCGGUGCAGUUAAGUCUUUCCUGGCCGGCAUCUCAUCAUAACAUUGUCUCUAGUAGUCGUACUGUCAGUCACAUCUAGCAUCCAAAACUAUUUACGCUGAGUUCAAAGAAAUAGUGAUGGCAGUUUUUCCUUGUAACCAGAGAUUCCACGCCUUCCUCCUCGCCUGCACAAGUGCGAGCCUGCUGAGGAAGUCCACAGCAACCUGCUUGCCUUCUACUCCGUUCAUGCCUGCAUAUUUGCCUGUGGAUACCCUUUGCUGGCCAGCACAGACCACCAGAAGUCAAUGUCCCCCCUCACCUCCCAUUUGCCUGUUGCAAUCCAUUAGGUGUAAAUCUUCACUAAUUGUGUUCCUCUCUGGCGAUUUUGCGGAAACAUCUUUUUCACAUGAUACUGCACUGUUGGUGGGUUCCUGAGGAAGAGGCAAAGGGGGGCAAAUAAAAUGUCCACUAUUCCGAUAAUGGUCAUCAACCAUGGGAAGCCAAUACUUUCAGCUAUGGAGCCUCCGAUGGAUGGGCCUAAAAACAGAAGAUUAAUGAGAUCAUUGCCACCUUGUUUCAAAAAAACAUUCUUUUGCAAAAUGAUUGUUUAUAACGCAAUUUGAAAAGACUCAACGAUUGUGGUUCUA